UACGAAGGGGGCUAGCGUUGCUCGGAAUCACUGGGCGUAAAGCGCACGUAGGCGGAUUGCUAAGUCAGGGGUGAAAUCCUGGAGCUCAACUCCAGAACUGCCUUUGAUACUGGCAAUCUCGAGUCCGGGAGAGGUGAGUGGAACUGCGAGUGUAGAGGUGAAAUUCGUAGAUAUUCGCAAGAACACCAGCGGCGAAGGCGGCUCACUGGCCCGAUACUGACGCUGAGGCACGAAAGCGUGGGGAGCAAACAGG
rnacentral:rRNA from 1 species